AAUUAAUUCUCGACCUGAUUAGGUAAUAUUCUAUUUAAUUGGGUAAUCUCCAAUUAAAUCGAAUAAUUCCCAAAAAUGGAAGGAAUUAUUUGACCUAGGGUUUUGAUUUAAUUAGGUUCCCACACUCAAUUUUCAGACCACAUUGCGCAACAUAAAGGACAGACUUAAUGCAAACAAACAGGCCCUCAGACACCUAGCCAAGACACCAUUUUGGAACCUAAUCAGUGCUUACAGAGAGGGCUACCUAACAAACACAAAUUGCAAAAAGUCUAACUAUGACAUUCUUAGACUAAUCAAUACCUACAACCCUGAGACCAAAAAAUUCAACUUUAGAGCUGGCAAUGAGUACGCAAUUACAAGCCAAGAUGUGGCUGACAUCUUUGGGUUGCCGAACCAUGGCAAGCAGCUGCCAAACACAACAAUAUCAACUAGACCGAAACUGGAUUUUGUGAACAAAUACUUCAUGGGAGUCGAAACGCUCACCAAGACUGAAAUUGAUAGGUUUCUGGACAAAGCACUGGAGGAUGAGACACCUCAGGGGCCAAUGGACGUCACAAGGUUCAUGAUUCUAGAGUUAUUCAUCAGCAACUUAUUCUGCAACUCAGGAUGUACACUAGCUUGGACAUAUGUGACAGCAAUAAAUACCGUGAAAGAUAUGAAGCAAUAUAACUGGGCAAAGGGUGUGCUGGACUACAUGCACUUUGGUUUGGACCAAGCAAUCAAGAACAAGAAAGACAACAAAAAACAGCCAAGUGUCAGUGGAUGCCUUGUUCUAAUACUGUAUUGGUUGUGUCAAAGAGGUAACUUGAUAAGUCCUAUUGUUGGAAGAGUAGACAUGCCGGCAGCUGCGAGAUGGAGCCUUCCAGAGCUGAACGUGAUGCUAACUCAUUUGAAAAAUGAGCACAUUAAGAUAACCAUUGCUGAAAAUGAAGACGACAAUGAAGAAAAAGAGAGUGACACUGAGCAUAAUGAUGGUGGAGAUGAAGAAGAUAAUGAAGGGAAUCAAGAUGAGAAUGAACAAGAGAAUCAAGACCAAUUGCUUAAACAACUGCAUAAAAGGUAUAAACAAGCGGUUCAAGAUCAAGAAUCCAAAUUAACUUUGAAUGAUUGGUGCAAGGGUAAAAAACAGAAUACUGGCAAAGGGGAAAAUGAUAUUGCUCAGCGACAACUGUUUACCAGUGGUGAAACUGUGAAAAAUGAUGCAGAGCAAACCACAUCUCAAAUCCAUGAGCAAAAGGAAAAAAUGAAUGAACACAACAUGGAUGAAGACAUUGCAACUAACCAAAAUGAACAAGUGCAAGAGAAGCAUCAGCAACAACUUGAAUCCCAACCCGACAGCCAAGAAAAGAUGUAUCAAAAUAUUUUUGUGGAGAUGGUGGGGUCAAUACCAGAGUACUACAAGGAUGAAAUGAAGCCUACCCAUGAUCGCAUCCAUGAGCUCAAAGAAGCAGUUGAUUAUUGGAUAGACAAAGCAGAUGAUCUCAAGUAUAAGAUGCAGGUUGCAAUUCAAUCGUGCAUGGAAAAAAAUGCUUUUAUUGAAAAAAUCUGUAGUGAAAAGGAAGCUGCACAGGAAAGAACAAAGAAACUAAAGAAGAAGCUUGAACAACAAGAAGAACAAAACAAAAAGCUACAAGCACAACUAGAGGAAGAGAAAUUGAAGAGGAGGCACCUGCAGAAUAACUAUGAACUGCUUGAAAGAGAGAAAAUGUCAUGCAUUGAGACCAUGAAACAAAAUGACUUUGAUAUUGCAUCUUUGGCACUAUGGGGUUUACAACAUUCUUGAUGCCAUCUGCAAGCAAAGACUGGAAAGCAUGCUAGAGAUUUUCACUUGAUGGGAGUGCAUUUUGGAAUGGAAAAAGAGUCAUUGUUGUACAAGGGUUGAUAGACGACACAUCAAUAUCCAAUGGAUGCCUAUAAAGAGUUACGUGAAGUUGAGGGGAAGACCAACCCUGUAAAACAUCAAAAUGCAUGUGGUGAUUUUAAUGGAACCCAACAAUCCUAUCUUUUGGAGUUUAAAGUUUUAGAUCAAGAAUAGAAAUUUUGUCCCAUUCAAUCCAUAUAUGAUGUUUGUCUAGUUUUGGAAUGAAACAUAACUAAGGAAUUUACCUAAGUUGACUGGACUCAAUUCCACUUAAGAGCCGGAAUGGAACUACAGAGAGGGUGGUAUUUCUAUGCCAUGGAACUACUUGGAAUGUAAAAUCAUUGCAAAUGCCCUUUCAUUAAUUGGCUGUAUGAAAAUUAGAAAAGAAAAUAACUCCAAGA